GUCAGCACAAACCGGAACCUCCAACCCCUGAUGAGACGAUGAGGGGUGCUGAUGUCGGGGGAAACCCUCCCGUGACUCAACGGGAUAGAGCGAAAGACAAAGACCGGAACGACUAAAGCGCCCUUCGUGGCGCUUUAGUUUU
rnacentral:sRNA from 1 species